CCAUCUUUGAAGAGAAAUUAAAGAAAGUGUCUGACAAAUGACAUGGUUUCUUCUAUCUAAGAUCUGUUUCUCCCUUUGCAGCAUGUUUGGGAAUGAACUCCAUGCAAUUGCCUUCUUCCCUUUAGACAUGGCUUCCUCCCCUUCCCACUGAAGCAGUGCAAUUGAGCAUCUCCAGAACAUGAGCACAGAAGGCUCGCCUGGACUGCAUUCCUCACAGAGGUGGAGCAAGUGAACUGUUAACAGCAUCACAUAUUGCAAGUUGAAAUUGAAUGACUGGAAGAUGCUGUGAAGAACACACAAAGGAACACCAAUUUCAUUCCCUUUGUCAUCUGACUAGCUAUAUUUAAAGUUAGAUUGCACAAAAGAGAGAUUGAGGAGGCAAGAGAAGCAACAAAAGACAGACUGAUUCCCAUUGCCCAGACAUUUCCCCUGAUGUCUGACUGGGGGUCUAGUGGAGGAGCAGCAAGCAUGACAUGGGGGAAAACAGCAACUGAAACCCACCGUCUGGUUCCUUCCAUUUCCUACAGCACGCAAUGGAACCACAGGGCUCCCACAGCCUGAGAGGGAGGCUGCUUUUGAGAGCAUUGCCCACAAAACUGUGGCUAUCACUCUGCAGAGACAACCUCUUGCCUUUUCUGUUGUCUUGUAUAACUAAGGUUCAGCAAUCGCCUAUAAUCUAAAGAUAUUAUAGCAGCAUCGUUUGAUAGCCCACUACCUAACCUGUUUUUUCAGGAAAAAAAUUAUUGAUUUUACUUUUUUCAUAUCAAAAAACUCUAGCCCAAAUUCUAGGAUUAAAUAAUUAAUAAUUAAAUAAUUCAGUGAUUAAAAAAUUAACAAAGGGGAUUUUUUAAAAUUUCAAACCUGAGAAGCACUGAUGGCACACACUCCUGGCACACACUGAUGGCACACACUCCUGGCACAAACACACUCCUGGCACACACUCCUGGCACACACUGGUGGCACAAACACACUCCUGGCACACACUGAUGGCACACACUCCUGGUACACACUCUCGGCACACACUCCUGGUGCACACUGAUGGCACACACUGAUGGCAUAUACUCCUGGCACACACUGAUGGCACACACUCCGGGCGCACAUUCCUGGCACACACUGAUGGCACACACUCCUGGCACACACUGAUGGCACACACUCCUGGCACACACUGAUGGAACACACUGAUGGCACACACUCCUGGCACACACUGAUGGCACACACUCCUGGCACACAUUGAUGGCACACACUGAUGGGUCACCCGCCACCCUGCGCGCCACCCUUGUUCUCCCACUCCGGAUCCGUCUGGCCCAGGCGCGGACCUGGUGCUGUUUGUGACUGUACAAGAAGAUCCAAGGUGAAAGAAAGGUAUAAAAACAACUUAAGACUUUUCUUCAAAUCCACACUAAGAUGGAUACUUUUUGCCUCACGACAUCUCUUUGGCUCGUCCUGCUGGGACAAGUAAUCAGUGACAAUCCCGAGAGACACAGCACGAAUCUAAGCAGUCAAGCGGGGGACUUCACCCCUUUUCCGGGGACAGAGCUCAGCUUCCUGGGAACCACUCAUCGACCUACAAAUUUGGCCCUGCCCAGCAAUGGCUCAGUGCGUAACUAUUGCCCACAACAGACUAAAAUCACGACAGCUUUCAAAUACAUUAACACUGUGAUAUCCUGCACCAUCUUCAUUGUGGGAAUGGUAGGGAACGCAACCCUGCUUAGGAUCAUUUACCAGAAUAAGUGCAUGAGGAAUGGCCCCAAUGCACUCAUAGCCAGCCUGGCCCUGGGGAACCUGAUCUACGUUGUCAUUGAUCUCCCCAUCAAUGUGUUUAAGGUACAGAGCAAUGGCCUCGUGGAGUCGUGUUCAAGGAAUCGGGAUCCCCUUGAUUACCGCCAUUGAAAUUGUCUCCAUCUGGGUCCUGUCCUUUAUCCUGGCCAUCCCAGAGGCCAUCGGCUUCGUCAUGGUACCAUUCGAAUACCUGGGUGAGCAGUAUUGAACCUGCAUGCUCAAUGCCACGACCAAGUUCAUGGAGGUACUGAGCCCAGUUCACCCACCAUAUCCAGGUCAACAUUAUAAAGACAUGCUAAAGUCCCAAAUGAAUUAGCUGGUCAGGGAGGCUCCGUCCUUCACUGUCCUCAGCUGUCAGGAAGACAAUGUUGGCCUUGUGUAGCCUCUUAAAUAGAGCAGCUGUGUCCUCUCCCGCUCUCCCCUCAUAGCGCAACUACAGACAUUCCGUCCUACAGACACGGACGUGUCACUGAGGACAUGCAGGUUGCUCAGUUAUAGUUCUGAACACAAGUCUUAUUUACCCUAAACGUACGUCACAAAACUCUUGUCCGGCAAAGUGAGCUGCAUGCGUGCCCUAUGAGGAAUCACUGCAGCACACACAAACCAUAGAUCCUGACCUCUACACAUAUUCGGCAAGAAAUUGGACACCCAGAGUCCCGGAGGUCGGGCUCUCUCGCUGUAAACAGGCUGCCUUGCUGUCUGGGCUCAUACUGACACAGACUCUAGGCCUGGCCCCCAAGAACACAUCAGCAUUGUUCAGAAAAGCUUAAGCACCUGCCUGAGCACACUGGGAAACACGGUUCAGAAUGCAUAUUCCCUUUGCAAAACUGGUUCCAGGUGGACAGAGGACAGAACCAGCAAGUUAUCCAUGCCCCCCGAGGCGGGAGAGUUAAGUGUUUUGAUGCCAGCAUCACCUGCUCAGGUCCACAUCACAGACAGCUCAAGCUAUGUUUUCCUAAGAG